UGUCAUAGAUAAAAAAUGCCUGUACCAUAACCGACACAGGUGGGUAGGUAGAGUAUACUAAGGGGCGCGAGAUAACUCUCUCUAAGGAACUCGGCAAAAUGACUCCGUAACUUCGGGAGAAGGAGUGCCUUAUUUAUAAGGUUGCAAUAACAAGAUCCAAGCAACUGUUUAUCAAAAACACAGGUCUCCGCUAAGUCGUAAGACGAUGUAUGGGGGCUGACGCCUGCCCAGUGCCAGAAGGUUAAAGAAGUUGGUUAGUGUAUGCGAAGCUGAUGACUGAAGCCCUGGUGAACGGCGGCCGUAACAAUAACGGUCCUAAGGUAGCGAAAUUCCUUGUCGGGUAAGUUCCGACCCGCACGAAAGGCGUAAUGAUUUGGAUACUGUCUCGGGGAGAGGCUCGGUGAAAUAGACUUGUCUGUGAAGAUGCGGACUACCUGCACCAGGACAGAAAGACCCUAUGAAGCUUUACUGUAACUUGAAAUUGGAAUUGGACUUUGCUUGCGCAGUAUAGGUGGGAAGCGUUGAAGAUAUUCUUGCGGGAGUAUUGGAGCUAUCAGUGAGAUACCACUCUUGUAAUGUUAGAUUUCUAACUUUGAACCAUAAUCUGGUCAAAGAACAGUUUCAGGUGGGCAGUUUGACUGGGGCGGUCGCCUCCCAAAUGGUAACGGAGGCGUACAAAGGUUUCCUCUGAACGGAUAGAAAUCGUAUCUAGAGUGUAAAGGCAUAAGGAAGCUUGACUGUGAGACCUACAAGUCGAGCAGGGACGAAAGUCGGUCUUAGUGAUCUGACGGUACUGAGUGGAAAGGCCGUCACUCAACGGAUAAAAGUUACUCUAGGAUAACAGGCUGAUCUCCCCCAAGAGUUCACAUCGACGGGGAGGUUUGGCACCUCGAUGUCGGCUCAUCGCAUCCUGGGGCGGUAGUACGUCCAAAGGGUUGGGCUGUUCGCCCAUGAAAGCGGUACGCGAGCUGGGUUCAGAACGUCGUGAGACAGUUCGGUCCAUAUCCGGUGUAGGCGUUAGAAUAUUGAGAGGAGCCUUCUUUAGUACGAGAGGACCGAGAAGGACACACCGCUGGUGUACCAGUUAUCGUGCCAACGGUAAACGCUGGGUAGCUAUGUGUGGAGUGGAUAACCGCUGAAAGCAUCUAAGUGGGAAGCCCACCUCAAGAUGAGUAUUCUCAUCACUAUAAGUGAGUAAGGUCACGGUAAGACUAACCGUUUGAUAGGCAUUAAGUGUAAAUGUAGUAAUGCAUGUGCUGAGAUGUCCUAACAGACCGAGGACU
rnacentral:rRNA from 1 species